rnacentral:rRNA from 1 species
GUAGGACUACCCGCUGAACUUAAGCAUAUCAAUAAGCGGAGGAAAAGAAACUAACAAGGAUUCCCCUAGUAACUGCGAGUGAAGCGGGAAAAGCUCAAAUUUAAAAGCCUUCGGGCGUUGUAAUCUGUAGAAGUGUUAUCAGUCGUUGCCUUGGAUAAGUCUCUUGGAACAGAGUGUCAAAGAGGGUGAGAAUCCCGUUUAUGCCAAGCUACCAACGUCUAUGUGAUACACUUUCAAAGAGUCGAGUUGUUUGGGAAUGCAGCUCAAAAUGGGUGGUAAACUCCAUCUAAAGCUAAAUAUUGGCGAGAGACCGAUAGCGAACAAGUACCGUGAGGGAAAGAUGAAAAGCACUUUGGAAAGAGAGUUAAACAGUACGUGAAAUUGUUGAAAGGGAAACGCUUGGAGUCAGUCGCGUUGCAUAGACUCAGCCUCACGGUGUAUUUCUGUGCAACGGGUCAACAUUAGUUUUAGGCGGGGGAUAAGGGCUCGAGGAAUGUGGCAACCCCGGUUGUGUUAUAGCCUCCUGUCGUACACCCCGCCCGGGACUAAGGUCUGCUUAAAGGAUGUUGACGAAAUGGCUCUAAGCGACCCGUCUUGAAACACGGACC